AAUCCGGGUCGCCUGUAUCGAGAUGAAUUCUGCAACUUGCAUUUCAACAAUCCUGCCAGAAACAUGGCCCACCUGCCCCACCACUGAUCUGGUGACACAUGCAGAGAUCAAUUUUGCAACUUGCAUUUCAACAUUCCUGCUUGAAGUGUGGAUCUCCUGCCCUUCAGCACACAUGGCCAGUCACAUGCCAAGAAUCCUGUAAUUCAUCUAAUAGAGCCAGCUCACCCUCAGAAUUCCUCAAGGGUGACAAUGACAACACCAUUACACCACACUGGUCAGUAACACACUGCCCACCGGCCACCACCCUUCCCCUCAGGCCACACG